rnacentral:rRNA from 1 species
AUUGAACGCUGGCGGCAGGCCUAACACAUGCAAGUCGAGCGGGGUUUUCGGACCUAGCGGCGGACGGGUGAGUAAUGCGUAGGAAGCUACCCGAUAGAGGGGGAUACCAGUUGGAAACGACUGUUAAUACCGCAUAAUGUCUACGGACCAAAGUGUGGGACCUUCGGGCCACAUGCUAUCGGAUGCGCCUACGUGGGAUUAGCUAGUUGGUGAGGUAAUGACUCACCAAGGCGACGAUCCCUAGCUGGUUUGAGAGGAUGAUCAGCCACACUGGAACUGAGACACGGUCCAGACUCCUACGGGAGGCAGCAGUGGGGAAUAUUGGACAAUGGGCGCAAGCCUGAUCCAGCCAUGCCGCGUGUGUGAAGAAGGCCUUCGGGUUGUAAAGCACUUUCAGUAGGGAGGAAGAGUUGAGUGUUAAUAGUACUCAGCUUUGACGUUACCUACAGAAGAAGCACCGGCUAACUCUGUGCAGCCGCCGCAGUAACAC